rnacentral:rRNA from 1 species
UACGUAGGUGGCAAGCGUUGUCCGGAUUUACUGGGCGUAAAGAGCGCGCAGGCGGUCGUGCAAGUCGCGUGUGAAAGCCCCCGGCUCAACUGGGGAGGGUCACGCGAUACUGCUCGACUUGAAGGCAGGAGAGGGAAGUGGAAUUCCCGGUGUAGUGGUGAAAUGCGUAGAUAUCUGGAGGAACACCGGUGGCGAAAGCGACUCACUGGACCGACACUGACGCUGAGGUGCGAAAGCUAGGGUAGCAAACGGG